AGCAGCCGCGGUAAUUCCAGCUCCAAUAGCGUAUAUUAAAGUUGUUGCAGUUAAAAGCUCGUAGUUGAAUUUCGGGAUCAAUAUAUCGGUCGUGCCUUGGUACGUACUGGUAUCAUUGGUUUCUCCUUUCUGACGAACCAUGAUGUCAUUAAUUUGGUGUUAUGGGAAGUUAGGACUGUUACUUUGAAAAAAAUUAGAGUGUUUAAAGCAGGCUUUGGCUUGAAUACAUUAGCAUGGAAUAAUGAAAUAGGACGUUCGAACCUAUUUUGUUGGUUUCUAGGAUCAACGUAAUGAUUAAUAGGGAUAGUUGGGGGCAUUAGUAUUCAAUUGUCAGAGGUGAAAUUCUUGGAUUUAUUGAAGACUAACUACUGCGAAAGCAUUUGCCAAGGAUGUUUUCAUUAAUCAAGAACGAAAGUUAGGGGAUCGAAGACGAUCAGAUACCGUCGUAGUCUUAACCAUAAACUAUGCCGACUAGGGAUCGGAUGAUGUUAAUUUUUUUAAUGACUCAUUCGGCGCCUUA
rnacentral:misc_RNA from 1 species